GCUCCUGUAUCCUAGUGGUUAAAGAGUCCGCCUCAGAUGCGGGAGGUCGUGGGUUCGAUCCCAGGUCGAGUCA